UGGGGAAUCUUCCGCAAUGGGCGCAAGCCUGACGGAGCAACGCCGCGUGAGUGAAGAAGGUUUUCGGAUCGUAAAGCUCUGUUGAGAGGGACGAGAGAUAUAAUCAGGAAAUGGGUUAUAGAGGACGGUACCUUUCGAGGAAGCCACGGCUAACUACGUGCCAGCAGCCGCGGUAAUACGUAGGUGGCGAGCGUUGUCCGGAAUUAUUGGGCGUAAAGGGAGCGCAGGUGGGAAAGUAAGUCAGUCUUAAAAGUUCGGGGCUCAACCUCGUGAUGGGAUUGAAACUGUAGAUCUUGAGUAUCGGAGAGGUAAUCGGAAUUCCUUGUGUAGCGGUGAAAUGCGUAGAUAUAAGGAAGAACACCGGUGGCGAAGGCGGAUUACUGGACGACAACUGACGGUGAGGCGCGAAAGCGUGGGGAGCAAACAGGAUUAGAUACCCUGGUAGU
rnacentral:rRNA from 1 species